CCUCAGUCGUGUCCUUGAGGCCCCAGGGUCUGGCUUUUCUCAUUUUGAAAUUCUGUGCUGCUUUAGGCUGUAAUUCUGAGAUUCAUGUUAUGGUGCCUCAUGGUUUAGCUUUUAUGUUUUUCAGGUUCUUUGCUGCUUUAGGCUGUAGUUUUGGGGUUCAUGAUGAUGCCUCAGGUUCUGGCUUUUCUGUUUUUCAGGUUCUGUGCUGCUUUAGGCUGUAGUUUUGGGAUUCAUGUUAUGGUGCCUCAGGUUCUGGCUUUUAUAUACUUUCAGGUUCUGUGCUGCUUUAGUGUGUGGGUCUGGCUUCACAGGAGGGGAUGGUGAGCUCUGUGCACAGAGCAGGGAGACAAAACAAUUCCUGCUCCAGCUGGGGACCAAGGACAAAUGAUCCAAAUCUCACCAAGGACAAAUGAUCCAAAUCUCACCAAGGACAAAUGAUCCAAAUCUCAGCCCAGGAGCACAAACCCCGUGGGCUGGAGAGAGAAAAACAAGGAUGGGACUGCAAAACCUAAAGCUGGAAUGGGACAAUGAGCUCCAAGAUGCAAGUGGAGCAGAACUGAUCAAAGUGAGAGACCCCAUGACCAGGUGUACAUUUUGUGACCAUUUUGGGUUCACCUGGGGUGCAGCCCUGGCUGGGCUCUUGUGCUGCCCAAGGUGGAUCCACUGAAGCCUUUUAAUAAAUCCCUGCUUUAUCCUUUA